UACGGAGGGGGCUAGCGUUGUUCGGAAUUACUGGGCGUAAAGCGCGCGUAGGUGGUUCAGUAAGUUGGAUGUGAAAUCCCCGGGCUCAACCUGGGAAUUGCAUUCAAAACUGGCCAACUAGAAUACGGGAGAGGGGGGUAGAAUUCCAAGUGUAGCGGUGAAAUGCGUAGAGAUUUGGAGGAAUACCAGUGGCGAAGGCGGCCCCCUGGCCCGAUAUUGACGCUGAGGUGCGAAAGCGUGGGGAGCAAACAGG
rnacentral:rRNA from 1 species